rnacentral:rRNA from 1 species
GGUUAAGCGACUAAGCGUACACGGUGGAUGCCCUGGCAGUCAGAGGCGAUGAAGGGCGUGCUAAUCUGCGAUAAGCGCCGGUAAGGUGAUAUGAACCGUUAUAACCGGCGAUACCCGAAUGGGGAAACCCAGUGUGAUUCGUCACACUAUCAUUAACUGAAUCCAUAGGUUAAUGAGGCGAACCGGGGGAACUGAAACAUCUAAGUACCCCGAGGAAAAGAAAUCAACCGAGAUUCCCCCAGUAGCGGCGAGCGAACGGGGAGGAGCCCAGAGCCUGAAUCAGCAUGUGUGUUAGUGGAAGCGUCUGGAAAGGCGCGCGAUACAGGGUGACAGCCCCGUACACAAAAGCGCAUGUGCUGUGAGCUCGAUGAGUAGGGCGGGACACGUGGUAUCCUGUCUGAAUAUGGGGGGACCAUCCUCCAAGGCUAAAUACUCCUGACUGACCGAUAGUGAACCAGUACCGUGAGGGAAAGGCGAAAAGAACCCCGGCGAGGGGAGUGAAAAAGAACCUGAAACCGUGUACGUACAAGCAGUGGGAGCACAGGUUUACCUGUGUGACUGCGUACCUUUUGUAUAAUGGGUCAGCGACUUAUAUUCUGUAGCAAGGUUAACCGAAUAGGGGAGCCGGAGGGAAACCGAGUCUUAAUUGGGCGUUAAGUUGCAGGGUAUAGACCCGAAACCCGGUGAUCUAGCCAUGGGCAGGUUGAAGGUUGGGUAACACUAACUGGAGGACCGAACCGACUAAUGUUGAAAAAUUAGCGGAUGACCUGUGGCUGGGGGUGAAAGGCCAAUCAAACCGGGAGAUAGCUGGUUCUCCCCGAAAGCUAUUUAGGUAGCGCCUCGUGAAUUCAUCUCCGGGGGUAGAGCACUGUUUCGGCUAGGGGGCCAUCCCGGCUUACCAACCCGAUGCAAACUGCGAAUACCGGAGAAUGUUAUCACGGGAGACACACGGCGGGUGCUAACGUCCGUCGUGAAGAGGGAAACAACCCAGACCGCCAGCUAAGGUCCCAAAGUCAUGGUUAAGUGGGAAACGAUGUGGGAAGGCCCAGACAGCCAGGAUGUUGGCUUAGAAGCAGCCAUCAUUUAAAGAAAGCGUAAUAGCUCACUGGUCGAGUCGGCCUGCGCGGAAGAUGUAACGGGGCUAAACCAUGCACCGAAGCUGCGGCAGCGAACGUAUCACUUAAAGCGAUUCAGCGGGUUACGAUUGACGGAGCGAAGCGACGUCAAAGCGUAUACAAAGUCGAGUCGGUUUAAGGAUACGUUCGUUGGGUAGGGGAGCGUUCUGUAAGCCUGUGAAGGUGGCCUGUGAGGGUUGCUGGAGGUAUCAGAAGUGCGAAUGCUGACAUAAGUAACGAUAAAGCGGGUGAAAAGCCCGCUCGCCGGAAGACCAAGGGUUCCUGUCCAACGUUAAUCGGGGCAGGGUGAGUCGACCCCUAAGGCGAGGCCGAAAGGCGUAGUCGAUGGGAAACGGGUUAAUAUUCCCGUACUUGGUGUUACUGCGAAGGGGGGACGGAGAAGGCUAUGUUGGCCGGGCGACGGUUGUCCCGGUUUAAGCGUGUAGGUGUGUGUUCCAGGUAAAUCCGGUUCACUUUAACACUGAGGCGUGAUGACGAGGCACUACGGUGCUGAAGCAACAAAUGCCCUGCUUCCAGGAAAAGCCUCUAAGCAUCAGGUAACAUCAAAUCGUACCCCAAACCGACACAGGUGGUCAGGUAGAGAAUACCAAGGCGCUUGAGAGAACUCGGGUGAAGGAACUAGGCAAAAUGGUGCCGUAACUUCGGGAGAAGGCACGCUGACACGUAGGUGAAGUGAUUUACUCAUGGAGCUGAAGUCAGUCGAAGAUACCAGCUGGCUGCAACUGUUUAUUAAAAACACAGCACUGUGCAAACACGAAAGUGGACGUAUACGGUGUGACGCCUGCCCGGUGCCGGAAGGUUAAUUGAUGGGGUCAGCGCAAGCGAAGCUCCUGAUCGAAGCCCCGGUAAACGGCGGCCGUAACUAUAACGGUCCUAAGGUAGCGAAAUUCCUUGUCGGGUAAGUUCCGACCUGCACGAAUGGCGUAAUGAUGGCCAGGCUGUCUCCACCCGAGACUCAGUGAAAUUGAACUCGCUGUGAAGAUGCAGUGUACCCGCGGCAAGACGGAAAGACCCCGUGAACCUUUACUAUAGCUUGACACUGAACAUUGAGCCUUGAUGUGUAGGAUAGGUGGGAGGCUUUGAAGCGUGGACGCCAGUCUGCGUGGAGCCGACCUUGAAAUACCACCCUUUAAUGUUUGAUGUUCUAACGUGGACCCGUAAUCCGGGUUGCGGACAGUGUCUGGUGGGUAGUUUGACUGGGGCGGUCUCCUCCUAAAGAGUAACGGAGGAGCACGAAGGUUGGCUAAUCCUGGUCGGACAUCAGGAGGUUAGUGCAAUGGCAUAAGCCAGCUUGACUGCGAGCGUGACGGCGCGAGCAGGUGCGAAAGCAGGUCAUAGUGAUCCGGUGGUUCUGAAUGGAAGGGCCAUCGCUCAACGGAUAAAAGGUACUCCGGGGAUAACAGGCUGAUACCGCCCAAGAGUUCAUAUCGACGGCGGUGUUUGGCACCUCGAUGUCGGCUCAUCACAUCCUGGGGCUGAAGUAGGUCCCAAGGGUAUGGCUGUUCGCCAUUUAAAGUGGUACGCGAGCUGGGUUUAGAACGUCGUGAGACAGUUCGGUCCCUAUCUGCCGUGGGCGCUGGAGAACUGAGGGGGGCUGCUCCUAGUACGAGAGGACCGGAGUGGACGCAUCACUGGUGUUCGGGUUGUCAUGCCAAUGGCACUGCCCGGUAGCUAAAUGCGGAAAAGAUAAGUGCUGAAAGCAUCUAAGCACGAAACUUGCCCCGAGAUGAGUUCUCCCUGAGACUUUAGGUCUCCUGAAGGAACGUUGAAGACGACGACGUUGAUAGGCCGGGUGUGUAAGCGCAGCGAUGCGUUGAGCUAACCGGUACUAAUGAACCGUGAGGCUUAACCUU